rfam:Myotis brandtii contig237038, whole genome shotgun sequence.
GCCAGUGUGGCUCAGUGGAUAGAGCAUCAGCUGUCGGACUGAAGGGUCCCGGGUUCGACUCCGGUCAAGGGCA